rnacentral:piRNA from 1 species
UACAGGACGAUGGGAAUCAAGAGGCUUGG